rnacentral:rRNA from 1 species
GACAGAGGUUGCAAACGUUGUUCGGAAUCACUGGGCAUAAAGCGCACGUAGGCGGUCUGUUAAGUCAGGUGUGAAAGCCCCCGGCUCAACCGGGGAACAGCAUUUGAUACUGGCAGACUCGAGGAUGGUAGGGGUGAGUGGAACUCCAGGUGGAGCGGUGAAAUGCGUAGAUAUCUGGAGGAACACCGGUGGCGAAAGCGGCUCACUGGACCAUAACUGACGCUGAGGUGCGAAAGCUAGGGGAGCAAACAGG